GCGGGCGUGGCGGAAUUGGCAGACGCGCUGGAUUUAGGUUCCAGUGGGGAAACCCGUGGGGGUUCGAGUCCCUUCGCCCGCACCA
rnacentral:tRNA from 1 species